UCUAAACACAAGCACAAAACCAGAAAAGUUAGGAAUUCCUACCAUUGGUAGAGAGGUCUUCUAAAUGAUCUUUCUUAGUGGGUACUGUCACUAGGAGCCUGUGUGCUAUGACACCCAGUAAACAGAGCAGUAAUUCCUCAGGUAUUUCCAUCCUAAGUCAGAGCCUAGAAAAGGACAGACGCCUUCAACUGGAUGGAACUUGGUGACAGUGGGCCUGAAAGCAACAGGAAGAACGGAAACAAAUGGAGAAAGGACCAGAACCCAUUCGCACCACGCCCCUGCCUUCUCACUGCCGGCAGUGGCCAACCCUGCACCACAGAUACCACUGAACUGAACCCAACCACGCCAUCAAGGCUGCCAAACUGCCAAAGAGCCCCAUGAGAAAAGAAGCCCUGACAAGCAAAGGUACGACUCCGUCCCUGGGCAACAUACUCACAGAGACAGACAGACAAAAGCAUGUUUGGGUAUCACUCCAAGAGGCAAAAUUCAUGAAGUGUGGCUUGACAGCAAUGUAGUAAAAUGAUAAUAAAAAUGCCUCAAUGGCACACACACACAAAUAUUACUGAAACUGCUGUGUAUUAACAUUGGUCUCUUAACUACCAUCUUCAAAACAUGCUCAUAGGGACUAUUCUAAAAGUUCAGGAACAGAACACCUCAUAAUCCAUACUUGGUAUAUAUUCCACACAUUCAUAUCUUUGAGGAUGGAGGGCUACCUGAAAAGAGGAUUUGGAAACUAGAUAUGAUGGCUCCCAGCACUUGGGAGGCUGAAGCAGAAGAAACACCACAAAGUCAAGGCCAGCUUGGGCUACAGAGUUCCACACCAGAGUGAGAAGCUGUCUCCAGGGGGCGAGGAAGGAAGAGAAAGUGAAAGAGGGGAUCCGGACAGCUAGGAAGGCAACAUAUAUAUUUUAAACCUUACAACUGUAACAAUAAAACGGCCUCACCAUGCAGCUCUGGCUCGUCUGAACUCACAGAUCCUCUUGUUUCUACCUCCUGAGUGCUAAGAUUAAAGUGUGCAUCACCAGGUCCUACAUUUUCUUAGCAUACUGAACCCACAGACACUGAUCAUAUCUUCUGUUUAAUUUUUUCUUAAUAAAGUAUUAAGCAACAUAAUCUCACAGAAUCCAGUAUAGCUAAAGUUAUCACAUACAUAAAAAAUAAAAAUAAACAAAACCCAUUUUUCCUUACAAAAUAGGAGGAGAGAAUCAUCACACAGACAGCCAAAAUGGAGGCCAGUACAGCAUCCGGGGGUAUUUCUGAGCCACUUCUUCCAAGGAUAGGAGUAAACAUCUCAAAUACAGCCCAGAUGAGAUACAGUCCAUAAAGAUACGGGAUAAACAUCCCCAGAAGGUAAAGAGCAAUAAAUCUUCCUUGGGCACCUGGGGAAUGGAAAGAAAACAAACCUAUAAGAUUCUAUAAGAUGCAGGGCUCAUUUUCAGUGUUCAUCUGCUUUGGCAUCUGACAGAAAAUGAAUCAGAUGUGAUCUUGUGCAAUCAGACAUUUUCAUCAGGGAGAAUAAAAUACAAAUAAAAUUAAAGUAAUAUAAUAGCAUGUGUUCAGAAACAUAAGUAUGGGAUGGGGGCAUACAGUAUAAGAUAAAUAUUUGCAUGGCAUGAAAAUUUAAAUAUUUUGGGAAGCCAAUUGGUUAAAUAAAUAAUCUCUAGUUCCCAUUUUUAUCAAAAACCCAAAUUACCCUACCGUGAUUGUUGAAGUCCUUGUACACGAAAAGCUUGGUGAGCAACGGAAAUGCUACCCAGACAGCACUCAUGAAUGCCGAGCAAAAUCCUUGGUAAGUGAGAGCAAAAAGAAAAGCACAGUGCACAAACAAUGCGGUGUCAAAGAACACUUCUCCCAGAUACUGGUUGCUGACAUUCUGAAAGAAAGAGAAAUGCAGUCUUGUUCAGUCAUUCAUAGAGAUCUUUUAUUACAAUUUCUUCAAGCCAAAUGCAUCUUAUUUUCAGCAGGGUCCACCCUUCAAACUGAUGAAGGGAGCACUCACAUUGCUAUUCCUGCCAGAUGUGACUGAUUGCAUCUGCUGCACAGGACGAGGCAGUUGGACAAGACAAGAAGGCAGGGGCCACACUGCUCUUCUAUCAUAAGGCUUGGAAACGUCCCCCAAUAAAAAGAUUCCUAAAAACA